rnacentral:rRNA from 1 species
AAUCAACGCUGGCGGCGUGCCUCAGACAUGCAAGUCGAACGAUUAAAGCUCUCUUCGGAGAGUGUAUAGAGUGGCGCACGGGUGAGUAACACGUAAGUAAUCUACCUUUGAGUGGGGAAUAACCCGGGGAACCCGAGCUAAUACCGCAUAAUGCAGCGGCACCGCAAGGUGACAGUUGUUAAAGGAGCAAUCCGCUUAAAGAGGAGCUUGCGGCAGAUUAGCUAGNGGUAAGGUAAUGGCUUACCAAGGCUUCGAUCUGUAUCCGGCCUGAGAGGGCGGUCGGACACACUGACACUGAAUAACGGGUCAGACUCCUACGGGAGGCAGCAGUCGGGAAUUUGGGCAAUGGGCGAAAGCCUGACCCAGCAACGCCGCGUGAAGGAUGAAGUAUUUCGGUAU